rnacentral:sRNA from 1 species
GCUGGGCAUGUUGGCACAUGCCUGUAGUCCCAGCUACUUGGGAGGCUGAGGUGGGAGGAUAGCUUGAGCCCAGGAGGUAGAGGUUGCAGUGAGCUAUAAUGGCACCACUGCACUCCAGCCUGGGCAACAGAGCAAGAUUCUUUCACAA